rnacentral:rRNA from 1 species
AUAUCAGUCAUGCAUAGCAUAUCAAUAAGCGGAGGAAAAGAAACUAACAAGGAUUCCCUUAGUAACGGCGAGUGAAGCGGGAAGAGCUCAAAUUUGAAAUCUUCAAGGUUUUACCUUGACGAAUUGUAGUUUAAAGAAGUGUUUUCUGUUGAAGUUUUGGUAAAAGUUCUUUGGAAUAGGACAUCAUAGAGGGUGAGAAUCCCGUAUUUGACCAUUACUUUCAGCUUUGUGAUACACUUUCAAAGAGUCGGAUUGUUUGGGAAUGCAGUCCAAAAUGGGUGGUAAAUUUCAUCUAAAGCUAAAUAUUGGCGAGAGACCGAUAGCGAACAAGUACCGUGAGGGAAAGAUGAAAAGAACUUUGAAAAGAGAGUUAAACAGUACGUGAAAUUGUCAAAAGGGAAGCGUUUGACACCAGUGUUGUUUUCUCGAAAAUCAAUUAAAAAGAGUUGGAUUUUGUGUUGUAUUGACUUUAUCAGCUUUCUUCACUCUUUUCCAGCUUUUUUUAAUGCACUUUUCGUCUAACAAGUCAACAUCAGUUUCUUUUGUUGUAAAAAGGUCAUUGGAAGGUGGCUUUCUCUUCGGAGAAAGUGUUUAUAGCCUUUGACUCAUGCAAUCGGAGAGACUGAGGUCUGCAGCGUAGAUCCUUCGGGGUUAGAUACAUUUGUGCUAAGUUAUAGCUUUUCAUAGACAACUUGUUGACUAUGUUUAGUCUUGUAGCUUACUCGCUUAUGCUAUUUUACCUACGCUUAGGAUGUUGAACUCUAUCACACACAG